CAAGUCGAACGGUAACGCGGAGAGCUUGCUCUCUGGCGACGAGUGGCGGACGGGUGAGUAAUGCGUAGGAAUCUGCCCAGUAGUGGGGGAUAACCCGGGGAAACCCGGGCUAAUACCGCAUACGCCCUACGGGGGAAAGCGGGGGCCUUCGGGCCUCGUGCUAUUGGAUGAGCCUGCGUCGGAUUAGCUAGUUGGUAGGGUAAAGGCCUACCAAGGCGACGAUCCGUAGCUGGUCUGAGAGGAUGAUCAGCCACACUGGGACUGAGACACGGCCCAGACUCC
rnacentral:rRNA from 1 species